AUACGGAGGGUGCAAGCGUUAAUCGGAAUUACUGGGCGUAAAGAGUACGUAGGUGGUUUAUUAAGUCAGAUGUGAAAGCCCCGGGCUCAACCUGGGAACUGCAUUUGAAACUAGUAAACUAGAGUAUGGUAGAGGGGGGUAGAAUUUCUAGUGUAGCGGUGAAAUGCGUAGAUAUUAGAAGGAAUACCAGUGGCGAAGGCGGCCCCCUGGACCAAUACUGACACUGAGGUACGAAAGCGUGGGUAGCGAACAGCAUUAGAUACCCGAGUAGUCC
rnacentral:rRNA from 1 species